GCUCAAAUAGUGUAGUGGCAGCACGUCAGUCCCACACACUGAAAGUCGCAGGUUCGAACCCUGCUUUGAGCA